UACAGAGGUCUCAAGCGUUGUUCGGAUUUAUUGGGCGUAAAGGGCGCGUAGGCGGUCACGCACGUCCGUUGUGAAAUCGCUCGGCUCAACUGGGCGGGGUCAGCGGAUACGGUGUGGCUGGAGCAAGCUAGGGGGCAAUGGAAUUCCCGGUGUAGUGGUGGAAUGCGUAGAUAUCGGGAGGAACACCAGUGGCGAAGGCGGUUGCCUGGAGCUUUGCUGACGCUGAUGCGCGAAAGCGUGGGGAGCGAACAGG
rnacentral:rRNA from 1 species